CCCGACUGCUAUCAGAGUAGGACUAAGCCAUGCGAGUCGACGCUGCAAAGCGUGGCAUACGGCUCAGUAACACGUAGUCAACAUGCCCAAAGGACGUGGAUAACCUCGGGAAACUGAGGAUAAACCGCGAUAGGCCAAGGUUUCUGGAAUGAGCCAUGGCCGAAAUCUACAUGGCCUUUGGAUUGGACUGCGGCCGAUCAGGCUGUUGGUGAGGUAAUGGCCCACCAAACCUGUAACCGGUACGGGCUUUGAGAGAAGGAGCCCGGAGAUGGGCACUGAGACAAGGGCCCAGGCCCUAUGGGGCGCAGCAGGCGCGAAACCUCUGCAAUAGGCGAAAGCCUGACAGGGUUACUCUGAGUGAUGCCCGCUAAGGGUAUCUUUUGGCACCUCUAAAAAUGGUGCAGAAUAAGGGGUGGGCAAGUCUGGUGUCAGCCGCCGCGGUAAUACCAGCACCCCGAGUUGUCGGGACGAUUAUUGGGCCUAAAGCAUCCGUAGCCUGUUCUGCAAGUCCUCCGUUAAAUCCACCUGCUUAACGGAUGGGCUGCGGGGGAUACUGCAGAGCUAGGAGGCGGGAGAGGCAAACGGUACUCAGUGGGUAGGGGUAAAAUCCAUUGAUCUACUGAAGACCACCAGUGGCGAAGGCGGUUUGCCAGAACGCGCUCGACGGUGAGGGAUGAAAGCUGGGGGAGCAAACCGGAUUAGAUACCCGGGUAGUCCCAGCUGUAAACGAUGCAGACUCGGUGAUGGGUUGGCCUCGAGCCAACCCAGUGCCGCAGGGAAGCCGUUAAGUCUGCCGCCUGGGGAGUACGGUCGCAAGACUGAAACUUAAAGGAAUUGGCGGGGGAGCACCACAAGGGGUGAAGCCUGCGGUUC
rnacentral:rRNA from 1 species